rnacentral:pre_miRNA from 1 species
GGCGGGGCGGGGGGGAAUCCUUCAACCCAGAUUGCGAGAGGGCACAAGCCAGGCCGAGGGACCCCACCGGUGCACG